CAAAGAUCUAAACUCUAAUCCGCCACUAUGGCUAAACACAAUCCCACAUACUAAAGUGGUUCUCUCCAGCCAGGAGAAACGUGUUCAUCCUCAGCCAGGAGAAACUUGAUCAUCGGAGUUUGCUCCCUGGGUCAACUCUAAUGAUAUGUUGUGAUUCUUGCUAGGUAUCAAGUCGAGAAUAAGCAGACAACAUCACUCCCGGAUCUCCGAUCUGGAUUCAAAACUCCAAGACCCGAAUACCUGGUGAGAUGUCACAACAUUUGGCUCCAUCUGUGGGACUAAGAACGAAUAGUUGUCAUCUCUUGGUCUCAACCUCAGUUUCACCUCCGACUCGUUCCGAUCUAUUGUUCUUCACCUCAGAUUUGCCCAGAUCCGUUCGAUUCACCCAUUAUUUGUUCAGAUCCAUUUGGCUCUCACCAAGAUCUAUUCAGAUCUGCCUCCCAAACGUUCAUAUAUCUAGAUCUGCUUCAUUUCUUCCCUCAUAUCUCUAGUUCUGCUUCAUUUCUUGCUCAUUUGAACAUUUUCCGAGCUUGCAAAGAUCUUCUCAUAUCUAUUUUCGUUUAAUAUUUGAUGGUUUGUUCAACAAGAUAGAAAAAAAUAAGUUUAUACAAGCUUUUACCCAUUCUUUGUUCAAAUUUUGGUGUUUUAUCCAAAUAAUCUGGGAAGAACAGAAGUUCUCACACCAUUUUCAGUUUAUAUGAUCAACAAAAUCCAUUUUUAGCUCAUCAAAAUGUUUUUCAAGCACAAGAAAAGUUUCUUAAAUUAGUUUCUGUCAUAACCAGCCUUUUUGGCUUGGGAAUUUCACCCUCAAGUAAGCAAGGACUAUUGUGAGACUUAUGCUAACACACCUAAGUGUUCAAUAUGAGUUCCUAAGGAGCCAUAUAGUGUUGGAAUGCAAAUCUCACCAAGUGUAGUGAAUCUCUCCCAAAUCUCUCUAAGUAUGCAAAAUCUCUCCAAGAAUAGUGAAUCUCUCCUAAAUCUCUCCAAGUACGGUGAAUCUCUCCCAAAUCUCUCUAAGUAUGCCAAAUCUCUCCAAGAAUAGUGAAUCUCUCCCAAAUCUCUCCAAGCAUGUGAAAUCUCUCCCAAAUCUCUCUGAGUAUGCGAAAUCUCUCUAAGUAUAGUGAAUCUCUCCCAAAUCUCUCCAAGUAUGUGAAAUCUCUCCCAAAUCUCUCCAAGCAUGUGAAAUCUCUCCCAAAUCUCUCCAAGUAUGUGAAAUCUCUCCCAAAUCUCUCCACGUACCUUAAAUUUCCAUAAGUACCUUCUUCAGUCGAAAACAGCUCAAAACCGGAAGAGGAACCCUCUUGGUCUGAAACCCUCUUGGUCCGGAACCCUCUUAGUCUGGAACCCUCUUGGUCCGGAAUGCCUUCUUAGGAGCCAAGAGGAAGCUUACCUUCGGAACAUCCUUGCUUCGGAACCUCCUUCACUCUGGAACAAGCUUCUCAUCCGGACAUAUCAGAUUUGCUUUGGAAUUGCUAGUCGCUUCACAACCUCGGUCUGGAUCAGUUGUCCUCGCAUCCGAAGGGAGUACUCCGGAAAUAGAAGAGCUUCGGAACUUGGCUGUGACUCCGGAACUCUCAUGCUCGCCACUUCGAACCCUCACAGAACUAACCCUCCCCUCCGGAAUUUGAUGUAGAGCUUUGGAAAUUACACUAUGACUCCAGAUUUCACCUUAUGACUCCGGAUUUUCAUUAUUUUCGGACUUUUUCAUCAUUUUAAGGUAUUUUGAGGUCGGGACUCCCACCAAACUCGUAUUUUUCUUAACUAAGACCCCUAAAACCCUCAUUUUAUGUCAAAAUGAAUUAUUUUAAGUUAUAUUUACAUAAAAAUAAAAGGGUUAGAAGUUAGGAAAACCUUAUCCUAAACCAAGAAAAGGACAAGGAAGUUGACUUGGUGAUUUGAUAAAACUCAUAUUCCCCAUGCAAAUCACAGUUUCCCAUGCUUUACCCACCAAAUAUCCAGGCAUGGACCACCAGAUCCCCAUGCAUCAAAGAUUCCUUUCCUUUUCUUAUACUCCAAAGCAACGACAGUGAAGGGGUUAGACUUCACAUAUUCUCUCACUUUUCUCAUUUCCUCUCAAAACUCAUCUCCAAGCAAGAACAAGAACUUGCUGAAAACAAAAUUCUCAAUUUCUCCCUGGAGUUGUAAGGAAAGCAUCCCUCCCAGGGAAGUUCCUCAUCUCAGCAAGAGUUUAAGCUUGAGAUCUUUACUCCAUAACUCCAAACAACUCCUCAACCAACCCAAGGGAUCUAGUAAGCAGGAUACAAGGGACACUGAUGCAAGAUCAUUUAAAUGUAGUUGAAGUUUUCUACUUAUGUAUCUUUUGUGUAAUCCGAAGAACAAAUACAUGCAAUAUGUAAACAAUGUAAGUUUGUCAUCUCAAUGUAUGAUGUUUGGAUUACUCUGUUUCAUUUAUAUUCAAUUGUUAUGAUACUGCACAAUAAAGUCACCCGCCUCUGGACA